AAUAAAAUGCUCCGCAGGGCGCAGCUUGAUACGACCGCAGAGGUCGAACCCUGAACAGUUGGGUCAAGUAUGGACACAACAUUCAAGCUUGAUACAGCUCUGAAUUUGGAUUGUGAUUAAAUAUUUGACACAGCAUAGGUUUCUGACACAGAAUGAAUGUGGUCUAAGAACUUAAAAAUUUUAAAUUGGACAUUCACCUAUUAUGGUCCAAUAUCCAAAAUCUAAAUACAUGGUUAGAUUCAGCAUAUCAAAGAACCCCAAGAAUUCAAUUUUUGAUGAAAUCAAACAAAGUUUAAUUUUGGACCCUUUUGACCUCAAUGUUGACAAAGUUGAUAACGGGGCCCAAAAAUCAAAAAUCUAAAUACAUGGUUAGAUUCAGCAUAUCAAAGAACCCCAUAUAUUCAAUUUUUGUUGAAAUCAAACAAAGUUUAAUUUUGGACCCAGAUUUGGACCAACUUAAAAACUGGGCUCAUAAUCAAAAAUCUAAAUACAUGUUUAGAUUCAGCAUAUCAAAGAACCCUAAGAAUUCAAUUUUUGUUAAAAUCAAACUUAGUUUAAUUUUGGACCCUUUGGACCUUAAUGUAGACCAAUUUGAAAACGGAACCAAAAAUUAAGAAUCUUAAUACAAGGUUAGAUUCGGCAUAUCAAAGAACCCCAAUAAUUCAAUUUUUGAUGAAAUCAAACAAAGUUUAAUUUUGGACCCUUUGGACCUCAAUGUGGACCAAUUUAAAAACGGGGCCCAAAAUCCAAAAACUUAAUACACGGUUAGAUUCAGCAUAUUAAAGAACCCCAAGAAUUCAAGAAUAAAACCCCAUUGAAAUUGGUCAAGAAAUAAGCAAUUUAUACGAAGUAUCUUCUUUUGCACAAUACUGUGCAAUUAAAUAUUUCUUGCUAUUGCGCAAUACUGCACAAUUGACAAUUUCUUGCUAUUGCGCAAUAUUGUGCUAUUGGAUAUUUCUUGCUAUUGCGCAAUACUGUGCAAUUGAAGAUUUCUUGCUAUUGCGCAAUACUGUGCAAUUGAAGAUUUCUUGCUAUUGUGCAAUACUGUGCAAUUGAAAAUUUCUUGCUAUUGCACAAUACUUAUUAUAUAAUAAUUUACACAUCCUGUUUGGUGUGUAUCUCCUACCAUAUCAUUAUUAUUUGCUUUUAAAUAUAAAUCAGAAAUAACCAACUUAAAAUGGAAAAUUUUAAAAGAAAAAAAAAAGGAAAAAAAGAAAAAAAAGGAAAAAAAAUAAAAA